GCGUCACCCUCUCCAGCCGGGAGAGGGUCGCGGGGGCUUCUUUGCCCGCGCGCACUCUCCCGGCUGGAGAGGUGACGC